rnacentral:rRNA from 1 species
GGGGGUUUUCAACUCCCAAACCCAAUGGUGAACGUUACCAAACUGUUGCCUCGGCGGGAUCUCUGCCCCGGGUGCGUCGCAGCCCCGGACCAAGGCGCCCGCCGGAGGACCAACCAAAACUCUUAUUGUAUACCCCCUCGCGGGUUUUUUUAUAAUCUGAGCCUUCUCGGCGCCUCUCGUAGGCGUUUCGAAAAUGAAUCAAAACUUUCAACAACGGAUCUCUUGGUUCUGGCAUCGAUGAAGAACGCAGCGAAAUGCGAUAAGUAAUGUGAAUUGCAGAAUUCAGUGAAUCAUCGAAUCUUUGAACGCACAUUGCGCCCGCCAGUAUUCUGGCGGGCAUGCCUGUCCGAGCGUCAUUUCAACCCUCGAACCCCUCCGGGGGGUCGGCGUUGGGGAUCGGCCCUGCCUUGGCGGUGGCCGUCUCCGAAAUACAGUGGCGGUCUCGCCGCAGCCUCUCCUGCGCAGUAGUUUGCACACUCGCAUCGGGAGCGCGGCGCGUCCACAGCCGUUAAACACCCAACUUCUGAAAUGUUGACCUCGGAUCAGGUAGGAAUACCCGCUGAACUUAAGCAUAUCAAUAAGGCGGGAGGAA